rnacentral:pre_miRNA from 1 species
UUAGUACUCCCUCUGUCCGAAAAAGCUUGUCUCUCAAAUGGAUGUAUCUAGCACCAAAUUAGUGCUAGAUACAUCCAUUUAAGGAACAAACUUGGGACAAGCUUUUUUGGACGGAGGGAGUAACAU